GCUGCGAUGACCGAGUGGUAAAGGUGUUGGACUUAAGAUCCAAGGGCUCUGCCUUCGUGGGUUCGAAUCCCACUCGCAGCG
rnacentral:tRNA from 1 species